AGAGUUUGAUCCUGGCUCAGAUUGAACGCUGGCGGCAUGCUUUACACAUGCAAGUCGAACGGCAGCACGGGGGCAACCCUGGUGGCGAGUGGCGAACGGGUGAGUAAUAUAUCGGAACAUGUCCGGAAGUGGGGGAUAACGUAGCGAAAGUUACGCUAAUACCGCAUAUGCCCUGAGGGGGAAAGGGGGGGAUCGCAAGACCUCUCGCUUUCGGAGUGGCCGAUAUCAGAUUAGCUAGUUGGUGAGGUAAAGGCUCACCAAGGCGACGAUCUGUAGCUGGUCUGAGAGGACGACCAGCCACACUGGAACUGAGACACGGUCCAGACUCCUACGGGAGGCAGCAGUGGGGAAUUUUGGACAAUGGGCGAAAGCCUGAUCCAGCCAUACCGCGUGAGUGAAGAAGGCCUUCGGGUUGUAAAGCUCUUUCAGCCGGAAAGAAAUCGUAUCUAUUAAUACUAGAUGCGGAUGACGGUACCGGAAGAAGAAGCACCGGCUAACUACGUGCCAGCAGCCGCGGUAAA
rnacentral:rRNA from 1 species